rnacentral:misc_RNA from 1 species
GUAGGUGAACCUGCGGAAGGAUCAUUAAUGAAUUCUUCGGUCUUAUGACUGAAAUUCUCCUUUACACACGUGCUCCUCCUGCUCAGCAGAGCGCGAGGUUUUUAUUUCCUUCAAUUAUUAGUCGUCUGAAAGUAAAACCAUCCUUCUCUAGGGUGUACAAAAGAAUUUAAAACUAUGAACAACGGAUCUCUAGGCUCUU